CCAACAGUAAUACAAUGUAUGCCUCUUUAAACAACUAAUAUUCUCAAACAAUGGCAAUUUAUAGUAUGGCAGUUAACUUACCUUGACUUGUUUCAUCUUUAGCCCAGGACAACCAGCAGGGAGACAAUAUUUAUACAGAUCUGUCAAAAAUGCAAGGAAGGCCAUUUUCUCCAUGGGAACACUCAGGCCAUCAUAUGUCACAGACCCCUGCCAUACAACAAGAGUCUUCUGAGUGGUCAAUAUCUAACCAGACCCCAUGUAAGUUUGAUUACUUUACUGAGCAGCCCUGAACAAUGAUUAUAAUCAAAUAUGUGAAAUCAAGUUUGUUUCUGCAUUUGAUUCUGAAAUUUCCUUGCAGAUAGCUUUCAGGAUACAAGACAAAGCCAACAGGUUCUACCUCAUGGUAAGUCCAAUGUGAGAUAUACAUUCACGGUGAGUUCAAU
ensembl:lncRNA